rnacentral:rRNA from 1 species
AUUGAACGCUGGCGGAAUGCUUUACACAUGCAAGUCGAACGGCAGCACGGGGGCAGCCCUGGUGGCGAGUGGCGAACGGGUGAGUAAUACAUCGGAACGUGCCCGGUCGUGGGGGAUAACGUAGCGAAAGUUACGCUAAUACCGCAUACGAUCUGAGGAUGAAAGCGGGGGACCUUCGGGCCUCGCGCGAUCGGAGCGGCCGAUGUCAGAUUAGGUAGUUGGUGGGGUAAAGGCCUACCAAGCCGACGAUCUGUAGCUGGUCUGAGAGGACGACCAGCCACACUGGGACUGAGACACGGCCCAGACUCCUACGGGAGGCAGCAGUGGGAAUUUUGGACAAUGGGCGCAAGCCUGAUCCAGCCAUUCCGCGUGCAGGACGAAGGCCUUCGGGUUGUAAACUGCUUUUGUACGGAACGAAAAGGCUCUGGCUAAUACCUGGGGCUCAUGACGGUACCGGAAGAAUAAGCACCGGCUAACUACGUG